rnacentral:rRNA from 1 species
GCAGUGGGGAAUAUUGGACAAUGGGCGAAAGCCUGAUCCAGCAAUGCCGCGUGAGUGAUGAAGGCCUUAGGGUUGUAAAGCUCUUUUACCCGGGAUGAUAAUGACAGUACCGGGAGAAUAAGCUCCGGCUAACUCCGUGCCAGCAGCCGCGGUAAUACGGAGGGAGCUAGCGUUAUUCGGAAUUACUGGGCGUAAAGCGCACGUAGGCGGCUUUGUAAGUUAGAGGUGAAAGCCCAGAGCUCAACUCUGGAAUUGCCUUUGAUACUGCAUCGCUUGAAUCCAGGAGAGGUGAGUGGAAUUCCGAGUGUAGAGGUGAAAUUCGUAGAUAUUCGGAAGAACACCAGUGGCGAAGGCGGCUCACUGGACUGGUAUUGACGCUGAGGUGCGAAAGCGUGGGGAGCAAACAGGAUUAGA